rnacentral:rRNA from 1 species
UACGUAGGGUGCAAGCGUUGUCCGGAAUUAUUGGGCGUAAAGAGCUCGUAGGCGGUUUGUCACGUCUGCUGUGAAAACCCGAGGCUCAACCUCGGGCCUGCAGUGGGUACGGGCAGACUAGAGUGCGGUAGGGGAGAUUGGAAUUCCUGGUGUAGCGGUGUAAUGCGCAGAUAUCGGGAGGAACACCAAUGGCGAAGGCAGAUAUCUGGGCCGUAACUGACGCUGAGGCGCGAAAGCAGGGGGAGCAAACAGG